rnacentral:tRNA from 1 species
GGAGGCAUAGCUCAGCUGGUUCAGAGCAUCUGCCUUACAAGCAGAGGGUCACAGGUUCGAACCCUGUUGCCUCCACAA